UACGGGGGGGGCAAGCGUUGUUCGGAAUUACUGGGCGUAAAGGGCUCGUAGGCGGCCAACUAAGUCAGACGUGAAAUCCCCAGGCUCAACCUGGGAACUGCGUCUGAUACUGGUUGGCUUGAAUCCGGGAGAGGGAUGCAGAAUUCCAGGUGUAGCGGUGAAAUGCGUAGAUAUCUGGAGGAAUACCGGUGGCGAAGGCGGCAUCCUGGACCGACAUUGACGCUGAGGAGCGAAAGCUAGGGGAGCAAACGGG
rnacentral:rRNA from 1 species